UGGGGCCCUAUUGCCAACUGGGGAUUCGUAGUUGCUGUAUGUCUUACUGCAAUGUCUUUAUAUUAUACAGAAUACCCCUUAAUAUGUUCCAUGUCUAUAAAUACUCUUGAUCAUACAAAAAAUUCUAGUUCCGUGCUUUUGUGACCUUAUUACAAUUCCUGCUUUUGUGACCUUAUUACAAUUCCUGCUUUUCUGACCUUAUUACAAUUCCAUCUGGCUUACUGAACAGGGCUUGGUGGACAUGAACAAACCCC
rnacentral:lncRNA from 1 species